UACGUAGGGGGCAAGCGUUGUCCGGAUUCAUUGGGCGUAAAGAGCUCGUAGGCGGUCAGUCGCGUCUGCUGUGAAAACUCGAGGCUCAACCUCGAGAUGUCGAUGGAUACUGCCGGGCUAGAGUCCGGAAGAGGCGAGUGGAAUUCUUGGUGUAGCGGUGAAAUGCGUAGAUAUCAAGAGGAACACCUGAGGUGAAGACGGGUUGCUGGGCCGACACUGACGCUGAGUGCGCGAAAGCCAGGGGAGCAAACGGG
rnacentral:rRNA from 1 species